GUGGGGUAACCUGGCCUGUAAGACUGGGGAUAACUCCGGGAAACCGGGGCUAAUACCGGAUGGUUGUUUGAACCGCAUGGUUCAAACAUAAAAGGUGGCUUCGGCUACCACUUACAGAUGGACCCGCGGCGCAUUAGCUAGUUGGUGAGGUAACGGCUCACCAAGGCAACGAUGCGUAGCCGACCUGAGAGGGUGAUCGGCCACACUGGGACUGAGACACGGCCCAGACUCCUACGGGAGGCAGCAGUAGGGAAUCUUCCGCAAUGGACGAAAGUCUGACGGAGCAACGCCGCGUGAGUGAUGAAGGUUUUCGGAUCGUAAAGCUCUGUUGUUAGGGAAGAACAAGUACCGUUCGAAUAGGGCGGUACCUUGACGGUACCUAACCAGAAAGCCACGGCUAACUACGUGCCAGCAGCCGCGGUAAUACGUAGGUGGCAAGCGUUGUCCGGAAUUAUUGGGCGUAAAGGGCUCGCAGGCGGUUUCUUAAGUCUGAUGUGAAAGCCCCCGGCUCAACCGGGGAGGGUCAUUGGAAACUGGGGAACUUGAGUGCAGAAGAGGAGAGUGGAAUUCCACGUGUAGCGGUGAAAUGCGUAGAGAUGUGGAGGAACACCAGUGGCGAAGGCGACUCUCUGGUCUGUAACUGACGCUGAGGAGCGAAAGCGUGGGGAGCGAACAGGAUUAGAUACCCUGGUAGUCCACGCCGUAAACGAUGAGUGCUAAGUGUUAGGGGGUUUCCGCCCCUUAGUGCUGCAGCUAACGCAUUAAGCACUCCGCCUGGGGAGUACGGUCGCAAGACUGAAACUCAUCGGAAUGACGGGGGCGGGCACAAUCUAUGGAGCGUGUGGUGUAAUUCUAUCCACGCGAUUAACCGUACCUGUCUGGCCUGCUCUCCCAUCCCAGACAUAGAAUGUCUCUUCCCCGGCGAGGGCCAAGUGAUGCGAGGUGUUGGUUAGUCCCCGGCUGGGGCC
rnacentral:rRNA from 1 species